CCCUUCCACGAACCACUGGGCUCUGUGCGCCUCUGGAGCAACUGAACUUGUGCUUGUUUCCUGCAGUCCGAAGUUGAACCGUCUCCUGAGUCUUCUAAGAGUCUGAAAAUCACUGGGCCAUCAGGAAAGUCUAAGCCAAGUUAGUAAAAACCAACAAAAUCUUCUGGUCCUGGGUAGCUGACCCAUAACUGGAAGUUUGACACCAGAGAGUGCAAUACGGACCCUUUUGGAACACCAACAGAGAGCUGAAAGAUAAAUGAAAAAUAGAUAUAAUAGUUAAAAUAACACAGAAGCCAACCAGACAUUUAACUUCUUGCAAGUACAGCCUACAGAGGAAUUUCUAUGCAACAUGGAAAAGUGCAUAUAAAUGCUUGGGUGUAAUUUUCAAUCCCAUUUGCUGUCCUCCCCUGCCAACAAGAAGAUCACAGCAUACUCAAAAUAACUGAUUUAACUCACACAAGUACACAGGACACAAGCACACGGCUUACAAGGACCAAACAAUGUGGAAAAACCAGAAAUCCUUCCAUGGCUAAGAACACAUUCCAGCAUGCUGGAAAUCAUUUAUGCAUCUGCCAUGAAGUACCUGGAAGAAGGAAAGAGCCUGAAUCGGAGCUGCCUUAUCAGGCACCAACAGAAUCACAAAUCGAGGCUCACGGCUUAAAAGAACCAACAAGAAAAAUGAGACUGGAUUUGGAAAGGAGAUGGAAAUCUUGUACCUCUCACAAAACUAAGAAACCAUGGCAAAUGUCACGUCCUCACUGAAAAUUUCUGAAAGUAUAGGAAGUCAACUACUCAAGCAGUGCCUGCUAUCACUGCAGAAGACAUAAACAUAAAGAAUAUUUUCCUAAUUGCUAUGGACCACUUCAGUGGGGUGAGUGUAGCAGGUAAGCUCUGUGUGUCCAGGGGCUUGCUUGUAGAGGGAGUUGGGAGGUUGCAUGGUGGUGUCUCAGCAGAAAUUUCUACAUGACAAAAAUCACGUUCAUGAAGAUGUAUCCUCUCCUUCUAGGGCAUGCAAAUGAAAUUGAUUGCUGCCACACUGUGACAUGUGCAAUAAGUUUCAUACUCUGUCUGUUCAUCUGUGCAUGCUAAAUGCAAGGCUGACACGUGAAACAUGUCAGGGAUUUGUUUUAGAUUUGCUGUAGAUUUCUCUGAGCUAAUGGAAAUAGCUUCCCAUGGGAUUUCUAC
rnacentral:lncRNA from 1 species